rnacentral:rRNA from 1 species
GAUGAACGCUGGCGGCGUGCCUAACACAUGCAAGUCGAGCGGCAGCGAGGGGUGCUUGCACCCUGUCGGCGAGCGGCGGACGGCUGAGUAACGCGUGGGAACGUGCCCCAAAGUGAGGAAUAACUGCCCGAAAGGGUAGCUAAUACCGCAUAUUAUCUUCGGAUCAAAGGAUUUAUCCGCUUUGGGAGCGGCUCGCGUCGGAUUAGGUAGUUGGUGAGGUAAUGGCUCACCAAGCCGACGAUCCGUAGCUGGUCUGAGAGGAUGACCAGCCAGACUGGAACUGAGACACGGUCCAGACUCCUACGGGAGGCAGCAGUGAGGAAUCUUCCACAAUGGGCGAAAGCCUGAUGGAGCAACGCCGCGUGCAGGACGAAGGCCUUCGGGUUGUAAACUGCUUUUAUAAGUGAGGAAUAUGACGGUAACUGAUGAAUAAGGAUCGGCUAACUACGUG